rnacentral:rRNA from 1 species
AUGGGCCGCCGGAUCGACCUCUCCGGCGCGGAGAUCCGCGCCGACCCCGGCGACGGCAGCCCGCCCAUCUUCCUCCCCCGCCAGCCCGCCGCCUCCCCGCUCCUCGCCCUCGACAUCGGAGGGACCCUGAUAAAGCUGGUGUACACGGCGAGCUGCGGCGCCGAGGCGGAGCUGCGGUUCGCCAAGUUCGAGAGGCGGAGGCUGGACGACUGCUUCGACUUCGUCCGGGCCCAAGGCCUCCUCGGCUGCAACGGGACAACGACAGGGCCAAGCAAAGAAAAUAUGACACUGAAGGCAACAGGUGGUGGAUCAUAUAAAUUUGGUGAUGAUUUUCGGCAAAAAUUAGGUGUUAGUCUUGACAAGCUUGAUGAAAUGGACAGUGUUGUCUCUGGAGCAAACUUUUUGUUACAGAAUGUUCCUGGCGCAGCCUUCACACACAUGAGUGGAAAGAGGAACUCGAUUGAUAUUUCCCCAGAUAACUUGUUUCCUUACCUUCUUGUGAACAUUGGCUCAGGAGUUAGCAUAUUAAAGGUCACUGGAAAUAGAAAAUUUGAAAGGGUAACUGGGACACAUAUUGGUGGCGGUACUAUGUUUGGGUUAGCAAAACUAUUAACAGGCUGCAAGAGUUAUGAUGAAUUCCUGCAAUUAAGCCAGAAAGGGGACAAUUUUGUACUUGAUCUAGUUGUGAAGGAUAUAUGCGGGGAGCUUGCCUGCCAGAAGCAAGGACUGUCAACUUCGACUCUUGCUUCUAGCUUUGGAAAAGUUAUUACUUCUAUGAAAAAGCUAGCAGAUUACAAGCCUGAAGACCUUGCAUCCGCAUUGUUGAGUGCCUUUACUUACAAUAUUGCACAAAUUUCUUUUCUUGUUGCAUCACUCUUGGGCCUCAGAAGGGUCUUUUUUGGUGGAUCAUACAUACGUGGACACAAGAGCACAAUGGAUAAUAUUUCUUAUGCACUAGACUUCUGGUCAGAGAGUCAAAUGCAAGCUUCAUUCUUGCAACAUGAAGGGUAUUUAGGUGCUCUUGGUGCCUUGAUGAGUUACGGGGAUCCCAGAGAUGAAAACUUGAACCUCGAGGAAUCUCAAGAGGAGAACAGUCAUGAGGCAGCAGGUCCUACUGAUGUGACAUCAGCAGACGAACAUAACGAUAGCAACAUAUUUCCUUAUCUCCUUGUUAAUAUUGGAUCUGGUGUCAGCAUGAUAGAGGUAAUUGGUAAGGGGAAGUUUGAGCGAAUUAUCGGAUCACAUCUGGGUGGUGGUACUAUCCUUGGUCUUGCAAGGCUUUUAACUGGCUGUUCAAGUUAUGAGGAAUUCUUGGAUUUGAGCCGGAGGGGUGAUAAUUUGGCUGUAGAUUUGACUGUUGGAGACAUUUAUGGGGAGCGUGGUUAUCCAAAGAUUGGUCUUCCAGCUUCCACUACUGCAGCAAGCUUUGGAAAAGUGAACUCGGGCAAACUUUCAGAGUACAAAGCAGAAGAUCUCGCAGCAGCUCUACUCAACUCUUUCACAUACAACAUUGGACAGAUAGCCUACUUUGUGGCUAAUCUAUCAGGCCUAAAGAGAAUCUUCUUUCGAGGUGCUUAUGUCUGUGGUCAUGAGAAGACUAUGGACAAGAUUUCUCGUUCCCUCAAGUACUGGUCCAAAGGUGAAGUUCAAACGACAUUUCUGUGUCACGAAGGGUUCUUGGGAACCUUAGGUGCAUUCUGGAGUUAUGAGAACAUGGGCAUUGAUGGCUUGGCAUCACAUGAAGUCAUUAGGGAAGUCUUGCUUGGUGCUCCGUACACCGGACAGUUCCCAUCUUCACCAUUGACUCCAGAGCAGGAAAAUGGGGGAAAUGUAAACGCUGAAGUUGAGGUGGAGAGGCUGCGGCGUGACAACGCGGUUCUGAAGUCCGAGCUUGAACGGUUACAAAGGGAGAAUGCAGAGCUGAAAGCCAAGUUAGUGAAAUCCGAUGAAGCGGCUACUUUGUAA